rnacentral:rRNA from 1 species
GACGAACCGAGCGAACGUUAUUCGGAAUCACUGGGCUUAAAGGGCGCGUAGGCGGUUCGUUAAGUCCUGUGUGAAAUCCCCCGGCUCAACUGGGGAACUGCACAGGAAACUAGCGGGCUUGAGUUCGGGAGAGGGAAGCGGAAUUCCGGGUGUAGCGGUGAAAUGCGUAGAUAUCUGGAGGAACACCGGUGGCGAAGGCGGCAUCCUGGACCGGUAUUGACGCUGAGGCGCGAAAGCUAGGGGAGCAAACGGG